rnacentral:rRNA from 1 species
ACGGGGAGAUUCAAUUGCCUCGCCGGUUAUGACCAUUUAACAGUGAUGUGUUUAUAUAUAUAUUAGAGACAUUAUNCGGCGGUUUCNNGUUUAUUCUCUUAACUGUUCCUGUAUAGUGCUCCACUGUUUUAUGAUAUAUAGUUUAUAGCCGGAGGCGUGCACUUCUCCCCUUGUAGGACGUCGUGACCCAUUGGAUUAUGUUGUCUAAGGCUUAUAAUGGAGACCGUGGCAUUAAGUUUCGGCUUUAAUGACCCGGACUUAUAGUGUCCCGACAUCUAUCCGAUGGUAUAAUUAUGAUGAUAGAUCGCUAUAAAUGCGUAUGAGCGUUCAGAUCCAUAACAAAUUCUUUAUAUGUUAAUAAUAGUGGAAAUCGGAUUUAAUGCCGAUUCUACACAUAUGGUAUUGAUAGUUGUGGUAUUCUCGAACCGUUCUUUAUCAUCAGUCAACGGCGUUUAUGUUUUGGGUAAUUACAGGACCCGUCUUGAAACACGGACCAAGGAGUCUAGCAUGUGCGCAAGUCAUUGGGACUUUGUGAAACCUAAAGGCGUAAUGAAAGUGAAAUAUUUGUGAAUUUUCGUAAUUCACUGAAUUUAAGGGAAGAUGGGUAACGUUUUUUAUGUUACCUCGCAUUCCCGGGGCGUCGCGUACUUA